rnacentral:ribozyme from 16 species
UUCCUCUUUUUCUUUUCUUUCUUCUUAUUUCUUGCCCCUAACGGACUAUCUUUUUCAAAUUUUAGAAAGAUGCCGCCUCCCAUGUCUUCAAUAACAGGAGAGCCCUGAUUAUUCGAAAAAUCAAAUGUUUCAUCUUCUUCU